rnacentral:rRNA from 1 species
AUACGUAGGGUGCAAGCGUUAAUCGGAAUUACUGGGCGUAAAGCGUGCGCAGGCGGUUUUGUAAGACAGAGGUGAAAUCCCCGGGCUCAACCUGGGAACUGCCUUUGUGACUGCAAGGCUAGAGUACGGCAGAGGGGGAUGGAAUUCCGCGUGUAGCAGUGAAAUGCGUAGAUAUGCGGAGGAACACCGAUGGCGAAGGCAAUCCCCUGGGCCGGUACUGACGCUCAUGCACGAAAGCGUGGGGAGCAAACAGGAUUAGAUACCCUGGUAGUCCACGCCCUAAACGAUGUCAACUGGUUGUUGGGUCUUCAUUGACUCAGUAACGAAGCUAACGCGUGAAGUUGACCGCCUGGGGAGUACGGCCGCAAGGUUGGAACUCAAAGGAAUUGACGGGG